rnacentral:tRNA from 1 species
GGCCCCGUAGCUCAGUUGGAUAGAGCGAGCGUUUCCUAAACGCUAGGUCACAGGUUCGAUCCCUGUCGGGGUCA